rnacentral:lncRNA from 1 species
AUACCCGUGUCACACGGGCGUUUGGAAGGCCUUCCAACCGAUAGUCAGUCGACUCAAAGGUCAAGUUCGAGCUGCUACACGGGCGGUUUCGAAGGCCGCCGAGUCAAUAGUCUAUCGAGUCAACGGAGCACCCUACAAC